rnacentral:rRNA from 1 species
UACAGAGGGUGCGAGCGUUAAUCGGAAUUACUGGGCGUAAGGCGCGCGUAGGCGGCUUUGCAAGUCGGGUGUGAAAUCCCCAGGCUUAACCUGGGAACUGCAUUCGAGACUGCAUUGCUAGAGUAUGGGAGAGGGAAGUGGAAUUUCCGGUGUAGCGGUGAAAUGCGCAGAUAUCGGGAGGAACACCAGUAGCGAAGGCGGCUCGCUGGGCCAUUCCUGACGCUGAGACGCGAAAAGCUAGGGGGAGCGAAACAGG